rnacentral:rRNA from 1 species
UACGGAGGGUGCUAGCGUUGUUCGGAAUCACUGGGCGUAAAGGGCGUGUAGGCGGCCUGCUAAGUCUGAUGUGAAAUCCCCUCGCUCAACGAGGGAACUGCGUCGGAUACUGGCGUGCUUGAGGACUGGAGAGGAGACUGGAAUUCACGGUGUAGCAGUGAAAUGCGUAGAGAUCGUGAGGAAGACCAGUGGCGAAGGCGGGUCUCUGGACAGUUCCUGACACUGAGGCACGAAGGCCAGGGGAGCAAACGGG